CUUUUUUUUAGCUCAAAGUUAGAGCACCAGUCUGAAGAUCUGGGGGUACUGCUUCAGUAGGAGGGU
rnacentral:tRNA from 1 species